GACGAACGCUGGCGGCGUGCUUAACACAUGCAAGUCGAACGGAAAGGCCCCUUUGGGGGUACUCGAGUGGCGAACGGGUGAGUAACACGUGAGUAACCUUCCCUUGACUUCGGGAUAACUUCAGGAAACUGGGGCUAAUACCGGAUAGGAAUCCUUGCUUCAUGGUGGGGGUUGGAAAGCUUCGGCGGUUUUGGAUGGACUCGCGGCUUAUCAGCUUGUUGGUGGGGUAGUGGCUUACCAAGGCUUUGACGGGUAGCCGGCCUGAGAGGGCGACCGGCCACAGUGGGACUGAGGUACGGCCCAGACACGUACGGGAGGCAGCAGGGGGGAAUAUUGCACAAUGGGCGGAAGCCGGAUGCAGCAACGCCGCGUGCGGGAUGACGGCCUUCGGGUUGUAAACCGCUUUCAGCAGGGGCGAAGCUUGUGGUGACGGUACCUGCAGAAGAAGCACCGGCUAACUACGUG
rnacentral:rRNA from 1 species